rnacentral:rRNA from 1 species
CCUACGGGUGGCAGCAGUGGGGAAUAUUGCACAAUGGGGGAAACCCUGAUGCAGCGACGCCGCGUGAGUGAGGAAGUAUUUCGGUAUGUAAAGCUCUAUCAGCAGGGAAGAAAAUGACGGUACCUGAGUAAGAAGCCCCGGCUAACUACGUGCCAGCAGCCGCGGUAAGACGUAGGGGGCAAGCGUUAUCCGGAGUUACUGGGUGUAAAGGGAGCGUAGACGGCAGUGCAAGUCUGGAGUGAAAGGCGGGGGCUCAACCCCCGGACUGCUCUGGAAACUGUACGGCUGGAGUGCAGGAGAGGUAAGUGGAAUUCCUAGUGUAGCGGUGAAAUGCGUAGAUAUUAGGAGGAACACCAGUGGCGAAGGCGGCUUACUGGACUGUAACUGACGUUGAGGCUCGAAAGCGUGGGGAGCAAACAGGAUUAGAUACCCUUGUAGUC